rnacentral:rRNA from 1 species
AAUCAACGCUGGCGGCGUGCCUAACACAUGCAAGUCGAACGCGAAAGGGGGCUUCGGUUCCUGAGUAGAGUGGCGUCCGGGUGAGUAACACGUAGGUAAUCUGCCUUCGGGUGGGGAAUAACCAGUCGAAAGAUUGGCUAAUACCGCAUAAUGCAGCGGCACCUAAUGGUGAUUAGUUGUUAAAGCGGGGGAUCGUAAGACCUCGCGCCUGAAGAGGAGCCUGCGGCAGAUUAGCUAGUUGGUGAGGUAAUGGCUCACCAAGGCUUCGAUCUGUAGCUGGUCUGAGAGGACGGCCAGCCACACUGGCACUGACACACGGGCCAGACUCCUACGGGAGGCAGCAGUGGGGAAUUUUGGGCAAUGGGCGAAAGCCUGACCCAGCAACGCCGCGUGAGGGAGGAAAUCCUUCGGGAUGUAAACCUCACAAGCAAGGGAAGAGAGCUCAGGGCCGAAUAAGCUUUGAGUCCGACGGUACCUUGCGU